UUCUAGUCAGUGUCAUAUGCAUGCACUGCAAUCUUUGAAAAUGAUCAGACCCUAAUUUCUUAUACCGCAAUCCUUCUUUCAUGCUCUUUGGUGUACAGAUUGUCUGGCUAAUUUCUACAUUUGAGUGUUGACUGCGAAGUGGCACUGAAGUUCAGCAGGACACAUUUCCUGUCUAUAUCCAUGGCUGGUUGUGCAACUGGUGCGAACUCUCAGGCCAUGUGCAAGCUAUCUCUGAGCAAAUGGGACAUUUUUGAACCUUUGUCAAGCAACAUGCUGCAGAUAACAAAAUGUACAUGCUGGGACUGAUGAAAUUCUGCAAAGGAACAAUGCAAUGAAUGUCAACAUAGGAUACUACUGCUUCUAAUGAGUAGAGAAUUCCACAAGACUGGCUGCCAUCUUGUCCAUGUAGCUUUUUUGGCUUGGAAAAGUGUCUCCUAUAUAUGUAACUGCACUUCAAAAAGAAAUAUUUGAAAGUACAGAAAGACAUAAAAUUAAAAGUGAGUUUUCCUAUCAACUCCUCCUGCUGCUUUCUUCCAUAAAACUAAAUACUAACCUUUCUAUUAAUCUAUCAACAAUAAAUAUUUCUACUGGCUUCCA
rnacentral:lncRNA from 1 species